GCGGCCCCUGGGUCUGUGCAGUGACCAGCCAGUCCCUGAGAACUUUCCCCUCAGACACCCGGGAAAAUGGGAUUUUUGCUCCUUGUGAUUUUCGCUGCAGCAGCUUUGGAAGGUGUCCGGUGCCAGGUGCAGCUGGUGGAGUCCGGAGGGGACGUGAAAAAGCCCGGAGACUCUCUCCGCCUCUCCUGCAAAGCCUCCGGGUUCACCUUCAGCAGCGCCUACAUGAGCUGGGUCCGGCAGGCUCCCGGGAAGGGGCUGGAGUGGGUGGCUGAGAUUAGACAUGAUGCAUCCAAGCAGUGGUACUCCCCGGCUGUUGAAGGCCGAUUCACCAUCUCCAGGGACAACUCCAACAACCUGCUGUAUCUGCAAAUGACCGGCCUGAAGCCCGAGGACACCGCCCGCUAUUACUGUGCGAGAGACACAGUGACACGAAACUGGUUUGUGAUCCUACAAAAACCAGAGCUGCGGAACUUCCCGCGCCUGCCGCAUGGGGGCAGCAACGACACAAGAAAAACUCCCCUGCUGCACAGCAAAGCGCUGCUCGCCUCACGCAAACAUCUCCUCACACUGGAGUUAACGGGAGAUCUCCAGGAAGCGAAGCAACGAGCAAUUGGCCCCUUCUCCAUGGGAGACUUUAGUGCCCAUGAGGGCAGGGGACUGGACUCGAUG